rnacentral:ncRNA from 1 species
AUAGUUUAAUUCUAGCUAACAAUUUAGUAUUUUCUUAGUUCUAUAUGCUCAGUUUAUAAAAAAUAAUGAUAAGGGUAUAUACAUAUAUGCAUAAUACAUAGAAUGGCAGUAGAUAAAUUUAUUUAUGCGUUACUACGUGAAAUUGUUGAAGAUUAUAAAAUUUGGCUAAUAUUGUGCCAGCAGCAGCGGUUAUACAAUAGAAAAUUAAAUAUAAAAUUUUUAUUAUGAUACAUUAAGAAAAGUUUAAGGUAAAAUUUAAUAGUAUUGGAUUAUUUUUAUCAAUCUAAAGAUUUUAAUUAAAACAAGGAUUAGAUACCCUUUUAUUUUUAUUCAAUAUAUAAAUUGGGGAUUACGAGAUAGACUUAAAAACCAAAGAAUAUGGCGGUACUUUAUUCAAUCAGGGUGACAUGUAUCUUAAUCUGAUAGUCCACGAUUUAUUUUCCUAAAUUUGAAUUACAGUAUGUGUACUGCCGUUAUGACAUAAUUUUAUAGAAUUAUGUAAGAUAUAUAAUUUAUUUAUAGAUAGUCAGGUCUAAGCGCAGCUAAUAUUUAGGUGAUAGUGUGUUACAUUUAUUUAAACAUUCAAUUUGUUUAUUUAAAUAUAGACAUAAAGAAGAACUUGAUAGUAAUUAAAUUUAUUAAAUUUGAUGAAAUUGAUUAGAAGUAUGUACAAAUCGCCCGUCACUCCUUUAUAAAGGAUAAGUCGUAACAUAGUAGAUGUAAUGGAAAUUGUAUCUAU